GCCUACAGCCAUGCCACCCUGAACAUGCCCGAUCCCAUCUGAUCUUGGAUAUUAAGCAGGGUCGGGUCUGGUAAGUACUUGGAUGGUAGACCACCUAGGAAGACCAGGUGCUAUAAGCA
rnacentral:rRNA from 1 species